rnacentral:rRNA from 1 species
UGGGGAAUCUUCCGCAAUGGACGAAAGUCUGACGGAGCAACGCCGCGUGAGUGAAGAAGGUUUUCGGAUCGUAAAACUCUGUCUUUUGGGGCGAACGUGAGUAUGGUGAACAAUCAUAGUCAGUGACGGUACCAAAGGAGGAAGCCACGGCUAACUACGUGCCAGCAGCCGCAGUAAUACGUAGGUGGCAAGCGUUGUCCGGAAUUAUUGGGCGUAAAGAGCGCGUAGGCGGGAUAGUCAGUCUGUUGUAAAGUGCGGGGCUCAACCCCGUGAUGGCAAUGGAAACAGCUAUUCUUGAGUGCAGGAGAGGAAAGUGGAAUUCCCAGUGUAGCGGUGAAAUGCGUAGAUAUUGGGAGGAACACCAGUGGCGAAGGCGACUUUCUGGACUGUGUCUGACGCUGAGGCGCGAAAGCCAGGGGAGCGAACGGGAUUAAAAUACCCCGGUAGUCCUGGCCGUAAACGAUGAGUACUAGGUGUAGGAGGUAUCGACCCCUUCUGUGCCGCAGUUAACACAAUAAGUACUCCGCCUGGGAAGUACGAUCGCAAGAUU